AUUGAACGCUAGCGGGAUGCUUUACACAUGCAAGUCGAGCGAGCGGCGGACGGGUGCGUAAUGUAUGGGGACUGCCCGAUAGAGGGGGAUAACUACUGGACACGGUAGCUAAUACCGCAUACUAUCGGAUAACCCAUAUGGGAUUAGCUAGUAGGUGAGGUAAUGGCUCACCUAGGCGCCGAUCCCUAGCUGGUCUGCUAGGAUGAUCAGCCACACUGGGACUGAGACCCGGCCCAGACUCCUACGGAGGCAGCAGUGGGGAAGAUGGCACAAUGGGCGCAGGCCUGAUGCAGCCAUGCCGCGGGUAUGAAGAAGGCCCUAGGGUUGUAAAGUACUUUCAGUCGGGAGGCGUUACCGACAGAAGAAGCACCGGCUAACUCCGUGCAAGCAGCCGCGGUAAUAC
rnacentral:rRNA from 1 species